UUAAGCGACUAAGCGUACACGGUGGAUGCCCUGGCAGUCAGAGGCGAUGAAGGACGUGCUAAUCUGCGAUAAGCGUCGGUAAGGUGAUAUGAACCGUUAUAACCGGCGAUUUCCGAAUGGGGAAACCCAGUGUGUUUCGACACACUAUCAUUAACUGAAUCCAUAGGUUAAUGAGGCGAACCGGGGGAACUGAAACAUCUAAGUACCCCGAGGAAAAGAAAUCAACCGAGAUUCCCCCAGUAGCGGCGAGCGAACGGGGAGCAGCCCAGAGCCUGAAUCAGUGUGUGUGUUAGUGGAAGCGUCUGGAAAGGCGCGCGAUACAGGGUGACAGCCCCGUACACAAAAAUGCACAUACUGUGAGCUCGAUGAGUAGGGCGGGACACGUGGUAUCCUGUCUGAAUAUGGGGGGACCAUCCUCCAAGGCUAAAUACUCCUGACUGACCGAUAGUGAACCAGUACCGUGAGGGAAAGGCGAAAAGAACCCCGGCGAGGGGAGUGAAAAAGAACCUGAAACCGUGUACGUACAAGCAGUGGGAGCACGCUUAGGCGUGUGACUGCGUACCUUUUGUAUAAUGGGUCAGCGACUUAUAUUCUGUAGCAAGGUUAACCGAAUAGGGGAGCCGAAGGGAAACCGAGUCUUAACUGGGCGUUAAGUUGCAGGGUAUAGACCCGAAACCCGGUGAUCUAGCCAUGGGCAGGUUGAAGGUUGGGUAACACUAACUGGAGGACCGAACCGACUAAUGUUGAAAAAUUAGCGGAUGACUUGUGGCUGGGGGUGAAAGGCCAAUCAAACCGGGAGAUAGCUGGUUCUCCCCGAAAGCUAUUUAGGUAGCGCCUCGUGAAUUCAUCUCCGGGGGUAGAGCACUGUUUCGGCAAGGGGGUCAUCCCGACUUACCAACCCGAUGCAAACUGCGAAUACCGGAGAAUGUUAUCACGGGAGACACACGGCGGGUGCUAACGUCCGUCGUGAAGAGGGAAACAACCCAGACCGCCAGCUAAGGUCCCAAAGUCAUGGUUAAGUGGGAAACGAUGUGGGAAGGCCCAGACAGCCAGGAUGUUGGCUUAGAAGCAGCCAUCAUUUAAAGAAAGCGUAAUAGCUCACUGGUCGAGUCGGCCUGCGCGGAAGAUGUAACGGGGCUAAACCAUGCACCGAAGCUGCGGCAGCGACGCUUAUGCGUUGUUGGGUAGGGGAGCGUUCUGUAAGCCUGCGAAGGUGUGCUGUGAGGCAUGCUGGAGGUAUCAGAAGUGCGAAUGCUGACAUAAGUAACGAUAAAGCGGGUGAAAAGCCCGCUCGCCGGAAGACCAAGGGUUCCUGUCCAACGUUAAUCGGGGCAGGGUGAGUCGACCCCUAAGGCGAGGCCGAAAGGCGUAGUCGAUGGGAAACAGGUUAAUAUUCCUGUACUUGGUGUUACUGCGAAGGGGGGACGGAGAAGGCUAUGUUGGCCGGGCGACGGUUGUCCCGGUUUAAGCGUGUAGGCUGGUUUUCCAGGCAAAUCCGGAAAAUCAAGGCUGAGGCGUGAUGACGAGGCACUACGGUGCUGAAGCAACAAAUGCCCUGCUUCCAGGAAAAGCCUCUAAGCAUCAGGUAACAUCAAAUCGUACCCCAAACCGACACAGGUGGUCAGGUAGAGAAUACCAAGGCGCUUGAGAGAACUCGGGUGAAGGAACUAGGCAAAAUGGUGCCGUAACUUCGGGAGAAGGCACGCUGAUAUGUAGGUGAAGUCCCUCGCGGAUGGAGCUGAAAUCAGUCGAAGAUACCAGCUGGCUGCAACUGUUUAUUAAAAACACAGCACUGUGCAAACACGAAAGUGGACGUAUACGGUGUGACGCCUGCCCGGUGCCGGAAGGUUAAUUGAUGGGGUCAGCGCAAGCGAAGCUCUUGAUCGAAGCCCCGGUAAACGGCGGCCGUAACUAUAACGGUCCUAAGGUAGCGAAAUUCCUUGUCGGGUAAGUUCCGACCUGCACGAAUGGCGUAAUGAUGGCCAGGCUGUCUCCACCCGAGACUCAGUGAAAUUGAACUCGCUGUGAAGAUGCAGUGUACCCGCGGCAAGACGGAAAGACCCCGUGAACCUUUACUAUAGCUUGACACUGAACAUUGAGCCUUGAUGUGUAGGAUAGGUGGGAGGCUUUGAAGUGUGGACGCCAGUCUGCAUGGAGCCG
rnacentral:rRNA from 1 species